rfam:Erinaceus europaeus unplaced genomic scaffold scaffold00206, whole genome shotgun sequence
GUCUACAGCCAUACCACCCUGAACACACCCGAUCGCUUCUGAUCUUGGAAGCUAAGCAGGGUUGGGCCUGGUUAGUACUUGGAUGGUAGAUUGGGAGAGAAAGAGAUACCUGCAACAC